rnacentral:rRNA from 1 species
UACGGGGGGAGCAAGCGUUGUUCGGAUUUACUGGGCGUAAAGGGCGCGUAGGCGGCCACCGCAAGUCCAUUGUGAAAUCUCCGGGCUUAACUCGGAAAGGUCAACUGAUACUGCGGGGCUAGAGUGCGGAAGGGGCAACUGGAAUUCUCGGUGUAGCGGUGAAAUGCGUAGAUAUCGAGAGGAACACCUGCGGCGAAGGCGGGUUGCUGGGCCGACACUGACGCUGAUGCGCGAAAGCCAGGGGAGCGAACGGG